CAGUCGCCACGGUAAUACAGAGGGUGCGAGCGUUAAUCGGAUUUACUGGGCGUAAAGCGUGCGUAGGCGGCUUUUUAAGUCGGAUGUAAAAUCCCUGAGCUUAACUUAGGAAUUGCAUUCGAUACUGGGAAGCUAGAGUAUGGGAGAGGAUGGUAGAAUUCCAGGUGUAGCGGUGAAAUGCGUAGAGAUCUGGAGGAAUACCGAUGGCGAAGGCAGCCAUCUGGCCUAAUACUGACGCUGAGGUACGAAAGCAUGGGGAGCAAACAGGAUUAGAGACCCCGGUAGUCCCUGUCUCUUAUAC
rnacentral:rRNA from 1 species